GACGAACGCUGGCGGCGUGCUUAACACAUGCAAGUCGAACGGAAAGGCCUGCUUUCCCUUGUGGAUUGCGGGUACUCGAGUGGCGAACGGGUGAGUAACACGUGAGUGAUCUGCCCCCAACUUGGGUAUAGGCCUGGGAAACUGGGUCUAAUUCCCGAUAGGACUGCAGGGUGGUGCCUGUGGUGGAAAACGAUUUUCUAGUGGUUGGGGAUGAGCUCGCGGCCUAUCAGCUUGUUGGUGGGGUAAUGGCCUACCAAGGCGGCGACGGGUAGCCGGCCUGGGAGGGUGGACGGCCACAUUGGGACUGAGAUACGGCCCAGACUCCUACGGGAGGCAGCAGUGGGGAAUAUUGCACAAUGGGCGGAAGCCUGAUGCAGCGACGCCGCGUGGGGGAUGACGGCCUUCGGGUUGUAAACUCCUUUCGACCGCGAGGAAGCCACCUGGUUGGAAGGGUGGUGACGGUAGUGGUAGAAGAAGCACCGGCUAACUACGUG
rnacentral:rRNA from 1 species